rnacentral:rRNA from 1 species
UACGGGGGGAGCAAGCGUUGUUCGGAUUUCCUGGGCGUAAAGGGCGCGUAGGCGGCCACUGCAAGUCAGUUGUGAAAUCUCCGGGCUUAACCCGGAAAGGUCAACUGAUACUGCAGGGCUAGAGUGCAGAAGGGGCAACUGGAAUUCUCGGUGUAGCGGUGAAAUGCGUAGAUAUCGAGAGGAACACCUGCGGCGAAGGCGGGUUGCUGGGCUGACACUGACGCUGAGGCGCGAAAGCCAGGGGAGCGAACCGG